UACGGGAGGCAGCAGUGGGGAAUAUUGCACAAUGGGCGCAAGCCUGAUGCAGCCAUGCCGCGUGUAUGAAGAAGGCCUUCGGGUUGUAAAGUACUUUCAGUCGUGAGGAAGGUGUUAAGGUUAAUAACCUUAGCAAUUGACGUUAGCGACAGAAGAAGCACCGGCUAACUCCGUGCCAGCAGCCGCGGUAAUACGGAGGGUGCGAGCGUUAAUCGGAAUUACUGGGCGUAAAGGGCACGCAGGCGGUUAAUAAGUGGAUGUGGAAUCCCCGGGCUUAACCUGGGAAUGGCAUUCAAGACUGGUUAGCUAGAGUCUUGUAGAGGGGGUAGAAUUCCAUGUGUAGCGGUGAAAUGCGUAGAGAUGUGGAGGAAUACCGGUGGCGAAGGCGGCCCCUGGGACAAAGACUGACGCUCAUGUGCGAAAGCGUGGGGAGCGAAACAGGAUUAGAUACC
rnacentral:rRNA from 1 species